AAACGAUUGAAGUCAGUCAUGCCGGUGAGAAAUCAGCUCAUAGGCUACUAUGGGUGCACUUUUUCGCAAGGCAGGUUAACAUCGGUUUCUGUUGCGUCAUAAUGAUUGUAGGAAGGUGGCUCCUUCGGGAGUGUUAUAGCCUACUUUAGAUGGCGUGAUGGGGACUGAGGAUUGCAGCGGAUGCUUUGCUACGAAUCUUGUCUCUGUCGAUCUUCAAUUAGUUUUCAGCUUGCUGAGCUCGGGUUGAUAGGUUUACAAUAGGUUUGAAUUCGUUAAAUUCGCUAAGGAUGUUGACGUAAUGGCUUUAAACGA
rnacentral:rRNA from 1 species